rnacentral:misc_RNA from 1 species
GAAAUGCGAUAAGUAAUGAGAAUUGCAGAAUUCAGUGAAUCAUCGAAUCUUUGAACGCACCUUGCGCUCCUUGGUAUUCCGAGGAGCAUGCCUGUUUGAGUGUCAUGGAAUUCUCAACUCUAUUUGCUUUUGUGAAUAGAGCUUGGAUUUGGAGGUUUAUUGCUGGUACUUGUGAUCGGCUCCUCUUGAAUGCAUUAGCUCGAACCUUUGCGGAUCAGCUAUCGGUGUGAUAAUUGUCUACGCCGUUGCAGUGAAGCAUAUCAAUGGGCUCGGCUUCCAAUCGUCCUUUACUGGACAAUGACUUUGACCUUUGACCUCAAAUCAGGUAGGAUUACCCGCUGAACUUAAGC